rnacentral:rRNA from 1 species
GACAGGGGAUGCAAGCGUUACUCGGAAUUACUGGGCGUAAAGCGUCUGCAGGUGUCUUGCCACGUCUGGUGUCAAAUGGUGCGGCUCAACCGCAUCAACGUGCCGGAAACGAGCGAGAUCGAGUCAUUCAGAGGUACCUGGAAUGUCGUGUGUAGGGGUAAAAUCCGUAGAUCCACGAUGGAACGCCAAAAGCGAAGGCAGGGUACUGGGAAUGCACUGACACUCAGAGACGAAAGCGUGGGGAGCAAAGGGG